rnacentral:rRNA from 1 species
AAAAGAAACUAACAAGGAUUCCCCUAGUAACUGCGAGUGAAGCGGGAAAAGCUCAAUUUAAAAAUCUGGUGGCCUUUUGGCCAUCCGAGUUGUAAUUUAGAGAAGCGUCUUCCGCGCUGGACCGUGCACAAGUCUCCUGGAAUGGAGCGUCAUAGAGGGUGAGAAUCCCGUCUUUGGCACGGACUCCCAGGGCUUCUGUGAUGCGCUCUCGACGAGUCGAGUUGUUUGGGAAUGCAGCUCAAAAUGGGUGGUGAACUCCAUCUAAAGCUAAAUACUGGCGAGAGACCGAUAGCGAACAAGUACCGUGAGGGAAAGAUGAAAAGCACUUUGGAAAGAGAGUGAAACAGUACGUGAAAUUGUUGAAAGGGAAACGCUUGAAGUCAGUCGCGUCGACCGAGACUCAGCCUUGCCUCGGCUUGGUGUACUUCUCGGCUGACGGGUCAGCAUCAAUUUCGAUCCUUGGAUAAUGGCAAGGGAAAGGUGGCACCUUCUUAGGUGUGUUAUAGUCCUCUGUCGCAUGCGAGGGUCGGGAUUGAGGAACUCAGCAUGCACCUUCGGGUGUCGGGGCAUCUGCCCACGUUUACGUGCUUAGGAUGCUGGCGUAAUGGCUUUAAACGACCCGUCUUGAAACACGGACCAAGGAGUCUAACAUACCCGCGAGUGUUCGGGUGGAAAACCCGUGCGCGCAAUGAAAGUAAAAGUUGGGACCUCUGUCGUGGAGGGCACCGACGCCCGGACCAGACCUUCUGUGACGGCUCCGCGGUAGAGCGUGUAUGUUGGGACCCGAAAGAUGGUGAACUAUGCCUGAAUAGGGUGAAGCCAGAGGAAACUCUGGUGGAGGCUCGUAGCGAUUCUGACGUGCAAAUCGAUCGUCAAAUUUGGGUAUAGGGGCGAAAGACUAAUCGAACCAUCUAGUAGCUGGUUCCUGC